UAAUUUGUAAGUUACUUAGAUAUUAAAUGAAGAGAAGUAUUAGGUUUUAUUAUAAAAGAUGAAUUAUUAGAGUGAUAGUGGAAAGUACUGUGAUGGAUAGUUGAAAAAUUGAAAAUGAAAUUAUUUAUAAGUUAAUUUUAUUUGUACCUUUUGCAUUAGGGUUUAACAAAAAUUUUUAAAUAUUUAAAUUUCCCGAAAUUUGUUGAGCUAUUUUUUAUUAAUAAAAGUAGUUUUAAAUACUUUUAAUAAUAUUUAUAGAAAUGAAAUUUUACUCGAAAUUGAGGAUAUCUGGUUAUAAUUAAUAAAAUUAUAUAUUUUUCUAUGAGUUAAUUACAUUAAUGAAUUUAUGGUUUUGACUUUUAGGGAUAAGCUUGAAAGUUUAGUUUGUCUUAUAAUAUUUUAUGAAGAUAAGGAGGUUUACAAUUUACUUAUUUUGUAAUAAAAAAUUUUUUAUGAUGUUUGUUUAGACUUUAAAUUUUUUUAAAUAAUUAAUGUUUAAAAGGAUUAAUGUUAUGAUUAGUAUAAUUUAAUUUUUUUAACUUAAAUUUAAGUUAAAAUUGUUUAGGUAAUUAAAUGAGGAUGAAUUCAGCAAAGAGGAUAUAUGAAUGUUUAUCAAAAACAUUGUAUCUUGGUAAGAUAAGAUAUAAAACCUGCUCAAUGUGAUGUGUAAAUUGCUGUGGUAUUAUGACUAUACAAAGGUAUUGUAAUAAGGCUUUAAUUGGGUGCUAAGAGAAUGGUUUUACAUAUAAAGGCUUUAUUCUUUUUUAUAUUAGAAGUUGGUAUAAAGAUGAAAAAAUCUUUAUGAUAUUUUGGGACAAGAAGACCCUAUGAAUUUGUUAAAAAUAUUAUAAAUGUUUAAUUAUAAAAUUUUAAUUGGUUGGGGUGAUUUUUUAAGAUUCUGAAUCUUAAAAAGGAGUUUAAUGGGCCCAUUAAUAAUGAGGAUUUGAAUAAAAUACUCUAGGGAUAACAGCGUAAUAAUUUUGGAUAGUUCAUAUAGAUGAAAUAGUUUGCGACCUCGAUGUUGGAUUAAGAUCCCUUUAUAAUGCAGAAGUUAUAGGAGAAAGUUUGCUCAACUUUUAAAUUCUUACAUGAUCUGAGUUCAGACCGACGUGAGUCAGGUCGGUUUCUAUCUAGAUAGAUAUUAAAAUUUUUAUAGUACGAAAGGAAUUAAUAAUUGAAAAUAUUUUUUAAAUUUAAAAA
rnacentral:rRNA from 1 species